CUGCGGCAGCGACACUCAGGUGUCGUUGGGUAGGGGAGCGUUCUGUAAGCCUGCGAAGGUGGCCUGUGAGGGUUGCUGGAGGUAUCAGAAGUGCGAAUGCUGACAUAAGUAACGAUAAAGCGGGUGAAAAGCCCGCUCGCCGGAAGACCAAGGGUUCCUGUCCAACGUUAAUCGGGGCAGGGUGAGUCGACCCCUAAGGCGAGGCCGAAAGGCGUAGUCGAUGGGAAACGGGUUAAUAUUCCCGUACUUGGUGUUACUGCGAAGGGGGGACGGAGAAGGCUAUGUUGGCCGGGCGACGGUUGUCCCGGUUUAAGCGUGUAGGUGUGUGUUCCAGGUAAAUCCGGUUCACUUUAACACUGAGGCGUGACGACGAGGCACUACGGUGCUGAAGCAACAAAUGCCCUGCUUCCAGGAAAAGCCUCUAAGCAUCAGGUAACAUCAAAUCGUACCCCAAACCGACACAGGUGGUCAGGUAGAGAAUACCAAGGCGCUUGAGAGAACUCGGGUGAAGGAACUAGGCAAAAUGGUGCCGUAACU
rnacentral:rRNA from 1 species